UACGGAGGGUGCGAGCGUUAUUCGGAAUUACUGGGCGUAAAGGGCGCGUAGGCGGCCUGGUAAGUCAGGGGUGAAAUCCCACGGCUCAACCGUGGAAUUGCCUUUGAAACUGCUGGGCUUGGAUCCUGGAGAGGGUGGCGGAAUUCCUGGUGUAGGAGUGAAAUCCGUAGAUAUCAGGAGGAACACCGGUGGCGAAGGCGGCCGCCUGGACAGGUAUCGACGCUGAGGCGCGAAAGUGUGGGGAGCAAACAGG
rnacentral:rRNA from 1 species